UAUGACUGGCAGUGUGUAACUCUUCAAGAUCAUGAGAAGACCACACUGUUCUACGGUAAAAACUGUUUCAUCAUUUCAUUCAUCAUGAUUUUUCAGUCCUCAAAUUCCCUUUUUUAACUCAAAAUACAAAUUCAAAAUUCUUCUUACAUUUUCCAUAUUUCAUGUAUUUGAAGUAUUUUUCUGAUCAUCAAGGGUCAUCAAAAAAGCCUAGUUUAAUUUUAUGUUUUCACAAAAAAUUGUGAAGGCAGUAAAACUUUUAAUUUUCUACCUUGUUCUUUACAUGCUGGGCUCUAAUGGGUCAGUUGCGCUGGUAACAGAAUCGUGUUUUGAUGCUUGAUUCUUGUAGAUUAGAUAAAAAGAAGAAAGUCUGUCUGAACAGCAACUUUCUACGUUGAAUAUUAUCUGAGAAUCAUCCUUUAAAAAGUCAGGUUUUUGAUGUCAUCCACCGCGGUAAAGCAUACCAUGGCAUGUACUGCCAUGCCGCGGUGGAUGACGUCAUAAAUCGCAUUUUUCAAGGCGCGAUAACUCAGUUAACAUUCAAGGUAGCAAGUUGCCGUUUGGACAGAUCUUAUUAUUUUUAGUUGAUCUGCAAGAAUAAAGCAUCAAAACACGAUUCUGUCCCCCAGCGCAACUGACCCAUUUAAUGAUUUUGAUCAUAAUUUUUAUGUGAUGGGUCAACGCAAAGGAAUGGGUCAGCAAGGUGAUAUCAUGUGCUCAGUUCAAUUUUUAUGCUCUUUACAGGUCAAGGUAGAAACGAGUUCAUAAAUGGGGUGGCUCCAGCUGGAGUGAGUUGCCGUCGGAACAUUCAUUACUGGAACUAAGUCCGGGAACUCUAGUCUAUGGGGAAUUGGUUUACGAAUUCGUCGGUGAAGGCAAGGGCCUUCGCAAGAGCGCUGCCUUUCAUAUUAUUGACGCAUACCAGCUGGGUAAGGAAGUCAUCGGUAAUUGCAAGUAUAGUGAGAGGUAUGAAAUUUGUCAGCUGUUCUGCAAAGCCAUGACCAGAAGAGGCUGUCCUGUCAGAAUGAAAAAACUUCACGAAUUGUUUGAGGUACCUUCGCUUCUGAACGAAGGGCUAGUUCGGAAACAACUAAAAAAUGUUUCCAUCCAUCGACUGUGUUUCCCAAUUCCUCCAUUCCAUCAUGAAGUCACAAGUUUGCUCUUUUUAAGCUCCACUGCAAGUAAGUAUUCUCAUCUGUGUCACUCAAACUAUGCACCUGUAUUUUUAAAUGUAAUUUGUCAUAGCUUGCUCUUUUUCUUGUCGGUCAAUGAAAAUUUGUGCUAAGUACAAAGACAUUGAAUGUGAGACCGUGUGUGGUGCACCAGCGCUACGAGAACAGAGCGUGACAGGAUUGGGGGCUUUCCAUGAUGAGCAGGUGGGAAAGGGAGAGAACAGUGUGUCUGACGAACUCAAAGAGACUGCAGAAAAGCAUACAGAAUUCAUUCUUGCACUCGGUUUGUUGCAAAUAAGUUGUUUUGAGUCCAAUUUCUGACAAAAUUCCAGAAGACUAAAGUUGUAGAGCAUAUAAUUUAUAACCAUAUUGCAAGGUUUCACUUUUCCGAACUAAAUAUCAACCAAGGAAAAUGCCUCACAAUAAAAAAAAAUUCACUGGGGCCGCUACCGUGGCCGCGCAGUGGGACAACUAUGCUUAUAGAUUCAAGGUCGGCGCUCUGCACUACACUCAUCAAUCAGUGCGCCAUGCAAAUAACUCGGAAAUGAAUAAUGUUGCGACCUGGAAAUUAAUUAAUAAACACAGGUGAAAGGAUGUGAGGCAGUUGUAAGACAUUAUGACAUCUGUUGAUGCGAUAUUUUUUCAUUGAAAUUAUGUAUUAAGAUCGGAUUUCUGGUGACUUUGAAAUUAUUCCUCUAAUUAAAAUUUAAAUGAAAGUGAAAAACAGAAAAUGUGUAGGUCUUCUCAUUUUUAGUACUUUCAACAGCCCCGUCAAACUUUGUUUUCUUGUUCUUUUUGCAACCUCACUAAAUCCUCGUUUUUACAGAUGGUUGGUGUAAACAUUGGUCCAAAAGUCAAAAAAAAUUUUAUUACUAUCAUGGCAAGACUAAAGCAUCCAAGUUUGAGAAAGAUGUCAACAUGGAAGUUUUAAUACUUUCGGGUAGGUCUGACUAUUUUUCUCUAUCCAACGUCCCAAAUCGAUCUCUGACAUUGGAUCAUUAUUAAGUAUCCUACAACCUGCCAUACAGUAUGAAUUUAAUUUGCCUAUUCAUUAGUGGAUUCAUUGGUUCCUGAAAAGAGUGCUGAAGCCAUUUCAGCAUUAAAAGAGUAUUGGCCAGUGUUGGAUCUCUCUGGAAAGUAGCAGUUCCAUCCACAGUUCUACUUGAUAAAGACUGCACAAUUAUUGCCUGUCUCUAAUUGCAGAAGCAUUACUGUUGCCAGUUUGUAGGUCUUUGUCACAAAGGUUUAUGUACGGAGAACCAAGAAUUUCAGCGCCGGCUUUUCAAGAUUCUUCGAUGCAUGUUCGUUACGAUCUUGUGCGUAAGGUGAGCUUUUCAAAUCAAAUUCUCCUUAGGCAAAUCUGGAGAGAAUCUUGUCUGAAAAGAGCAUUUUUCAGCAAUUGUUCACGUAUUAUCAAGUGAAAAAUGUAAGUGGUUGAAGAGCAAGCUCCUUUUUCCUUGUCUAGUGCCACUCGGGGAGAUGAGACGGCACAUCAAUUCAUUAAAAAAGAAACGCGUUGCACCUUCGACUCAGCAACAGUACCACUCUACUGUGUGACGAAACUUGUAAAUUUGCCAAUACUGCGUUUUCCAGACCUGAUUUUUUCGAGAUUGGCACGUUGAAAGUUUGAUUAUAAAAGCUCAUAUUACUUGGGAGAUUGUAAGAAACAGCAUAUCAAUGGCUGAAGUGUGGCACCACAUAUCCUCAUGGCGGUGUUUCAAAAUCUCUGAUCCCAAUUUAUUUUUCAAAGAGGAACAAAUUAACUAUAGCCCGAAAUUUAUGCAGAGCAAUCUGCCUACAGAGAAGAAAAAUCAAGGAAAUUUUCAAGAAAUUACGUUGUCUAGUUUCCCAAGGAAAAAUUGAAGUAUGACAGGGCGUCUACAAUGCCGCAAUUGAAAAUAUUUGGUCUCGUACUUAAGCCAUCAAUAUGAAAAAAUCUAAAAAGUAAGCUGACACUGAAUUUCUUGGUAUUGUUUGUGAAGUCCUUUCAGCCAUGCUGUUUUUAAACGUUGUUAAUGGGACUUAAAAUGUUGUUAAUGGUAAACUUUGAAAAUGGAUUCACCAAUCAUUUCAGCUGUCACCUGCGUCAGCUCAGGUUAUUGAUAACCCUAUUCUCAGUUUCAAUUUGCAGUGAGUGGAAACAACUUUUGGUAUUCUAUCUCUUUAAUGACAAAUAGUAAUCUUUGCAUCCCAGCAUCAUUUUUUACUGCCCUCUCCAAAAAAUCCAGGAGUCCUGAGAAAGUGCUGGAAUGGGAAACAAAUUUUCUGGGAACAUUUUCCAUUUUCUUUAAAAAAAUGAUUGAUCACUAGUUUGUGCGUGCAUUAUUUUUACAAAGUCUCUGAAAAAAGUGAACACCAGCCAUAAAAUCCUUGAAAAAUUUGCAGAAAGCUCCCUCCUAGAUCCCCCCUCCCCCUGUUAUGAUUUUGCAUACUGACUAAAGUGGUUUCUUUGUGCGCAGAUUAACAAUGGAACGGCUGAAAAUCUGGUCCUGGAAGAACUAUGUACCUGACUGUCAUCCUCCUCGUAGUGUUACUGACAAACUGAUCAACUUUCUCCGAGCAAACACCGUCCACAAACGCACCUAAACUCACUUAUUCUAUUCCUCUAAGUCGUAUUAUUUUGAAACUAGCUAAGUCUGUGAUGGAGUUUUAAAAGCCACCAUACUUGUGAUUCAAGUAUGUAGGCUGUGUAACAUAUGUAGAAUUGAAUUUUUUAGUAAAACUCAGGAUGCUGAUGAUCGAUUGGCACUCAGUAUUUUAUUAUUUGUUACUUAGUACUUUCCUUUAUUCUCUCCGUGAGUCUGCUGUUUUAGUGGCUUAAAAAAUUUUGUGAUUUCACUGAAGUGAAUAAGCAAUUAAAUGAAGAUUCUCUUCCCAGAGUCGUGAAGUCCAUCUGAACUCAUUUCCUAUUGAUUAAUCAAAAAUUGAUAAGAAUCUUUUUUGUUGCGUGUUAGUUGAGUGUACUGCUGAAUCAUUGAAAACUAUUUUUGCGUUUCUUUAGUAGAAUGCCAUUAAAUAUGUUGGCAGCUGUUUACUGAAGGCUGUUAUCAAUGGCCCAAGUGUAAAACCGUGCAUCUCCAUUGCAAUGUCUCAAAAUAUCCACUCCUAUUUUAUUUUUUGAAGAGAAACAAGCCAUAUUUGUAGCUCGGAUUUUACAUUGAAUAUUCUGCUAAGAGAGAAGAAAAAUAAAGGAAUUUUCAAGGAAUUACGUCCAGUGGUUUUCCAAAGAAAUAAUGAAGUAUGAAAGGAAGUUUGCAAUGUCUCAAAUGGAGAUACGUAGUUUUGCAUUUUGGCUACUGAUAUGCUGCAAACUGCUUCACUUAUCUGUGCAUAGCAAUAAUGUCAGCCUGCGAUCUAGCAGUAUGUAAUUAACAUUGAACAGUGGGGGUACAGCAGCUUGGAAACAGAAAGUAAAUGCAUAACUGCCAAUGUGUAUGACAAUACUUCAACUGCAAUUGUGCUCCAACAAAAAUUCUGUCUUGGCAGUUUUUUUCAGUUCGAUUUUUUUGAAGAAGCUUCCAUUCUUUUUUCCACUUCUCCAUACAUUAAUUGGCAUAAUAAUUGUCUGCUUAACUUACAUAAGAUAAUGACAACUCAAUUUUGCGUACAAAUGUCUGACAAAGAAAUUUCUUUUGUUUGACGAAACACAUCUUGUAGACAGUUUUUUUUUUUUUUUGGAUUCCAUGAACUGUGAAAUUUCCAUAAUACAUACCUAUUUUUACUUGUUGACAAUAGUCGUGAAUUUUUUUCUUUUGAAUCCUGAGGUAAAAUUUCAUUGUAAAAUGAGGCAAAAGAAAAUGUAAAUUGUCUGAAAUCGAAUGAGAAUAUGUUUGCCCCUCCUUCUCCAAAUCAUUUCUUCAUGGUCUGUGUUCCGAACGAGUCUUGUCAGUUUAAAUCUUUGAUUAACAUUUAUCCUAAAUUCGGUACAAAAGAAUGU
rnacentral:lncRNA from 1 species